UGGGGAAUUUUGCACAAUGGGGGAAACCCUGAUGCAGCGACGCCGCGUGAUUUAGAAGGCCUUCGGGUUGUAAAAAUCUUUUCUAUGGGAAGAAAAUGACAGUACCAUAGGAAUAAGGACCGGCUAAUUACGUGCCAGCAGCCGCGGUAAUACGUAAGGUCCGAGCGGUGUCCGGCAUCAUUGGGCGUAAAGGGUACGUAGGCGGGUAAGCAAGUUAGAAGUGAAAUCCUAUAGCUCAACUAUAGUAAGCUUUUAAAACUGCUCAUCUUGAGGUAUGGAAGGGAAAGUGGAAUUCCUAGUGUAGCGGUGAAAUGCGCAGAUAUUAGGAGGAAUACCGGUGGCGAAGGCGACUUUCUGGCCAUAACCUGACGCUGAGGUACGAAAGCGUGGGUAGCAAACAGG
rnacentral:rRNA from 1 species